rnacentral:rRNA from 1 species
AGCAGCCGCGGUAAUUCCAGCUCCAAUAGCGUAUAUUAAAGUUGUUGCAGUUAAAAAGCUCGUAGUUGAAUUUCGAGACCGGUUUACUGGUCGUGCUUUUGUACGUACUGGUAUUAUUGGUUUCUCCUUUCUGACGAAUCAUAAUGCCAUUAAUUUGGUGUUUUGGGGAAUCAGGACUGUUACUUUGAAAAAAUUAGAGUGUUUAAAGCAGGCUCACGCUUGAAUACAUUAGCAUGGAAUAACGAAAUAGGACGUUUGAUUUUAUUUUGUUGGUUUCUAGGAUCGACGUAAUGAUUAAUAGGGAUAGUUGGGGGCAUUAGUAUUCAAUUGUCAGAGGUGAAAUUCUUGGAUUUAUUGAAGACUAACUACUGCGAAAGCAUUUGCCAGGGAUGUUUUCAUUAAUCAAGAACGAAAGUUAGGGGAUCGAAGACGAUCAGAUACCGUCGUAGUCUUAACCAUAAACUAUGCCGACUAGGGAUCGGAUGAUGUUAAUUUUUAAUGACUCAUUCG